CUCUGGAUCAACUCAGGUUGAACAGUCAGAUGGGCCAAACAUGCAACUCUCUUCAGGUCCUGAAGUCGUACCUGUUGUGCGGCCUCUAUUACCCUAUAUUCGGAAAUCAUUAGGUGAGCUAAUAUACCUGCACUUUUUCUGUUGAGUACGUCGGCUACCACGUUGCCCUUACCUAGGUGAUACAAGAUGUUGCAAUCAUAAUCCUUGAGGAGUUCUAUCAAUCUUCUCUGAUGCAUGUUUAGAUCUUUUUGAGUGAAUAUGUGUUUCAAGCUCUU
rnacentral:lncRNA from 1 species